rnacentral:rRNA from 1 species
GAUGAACGCUGGCGGCGUGCCUAAUACAUGCAAGUCGAGCGAAUGGAUUAAGAGCUUGCUCUUAUGAAGUUAGCGGCGGACGGGUGAGUAACACGUGGGUAACCUGCCCAUAAGACUGGGAUAACUCCGGGAGACCGGGGCUAAUACCGGAUAACAUUUUGAACCGCAUGGUUAGAACUUGAAAGGCGGAUUCGGCUGUCACUUAUGGAUGGACCCGCGUCGCAUUAGCUAGUUGGUGAGGUAACGGCUCACCAAGGCAACGAUGCGUAGCCGACCUGAGAGGGUGAUCGGCCACACUGGGACUGAGACACGGCCCAGACUCCUACGGGAGGCAGCAGUAGGGAAUCUUCCGCAAUGGACGAAAGUCUGACGGAGCAACGCCGCGUGAGUGAUGAAGGCUUUCGGGUCGUAAAACUCUGUUGUUAGGGAAGAACAAGUGCUAGUUGAAUAAGCUGGCACCUUGACGGUACCUAACCAGAAAGCCACGGCUAACUACGUGCCAGCCGCCGCCGUAA